rnacentral:rRNA from 1 species
UUAAUACAUGAAAGUCGAACGAACUCUGGUAUUGAUUGGUGCUUGCAUCAUGAUUUACAUUUGAGUGAGUGGCGAACUGGUGAGUAACACGUGGGAAACCUGCCCAGAAGCGGGGGAUAACACCUGGAAACAGAUGCUAAUACCGCAUAACAACUUGGACCGCAUGGUCCGAGCUUGAAAGAUGGCUUCGGCUAUCACUUUUGGAUGGUCCCGCGGCGUAUUAGCUAGAUGGUGGGGUAACGGCUCACCAUGGCAAUGAUACGUAGCCGACCUGAGAGGGUAAUCGGCCACAUUGGGACUGAGACACGGCCCAAACUCCUACGGGAGGCAGCAGUAGGGAAUCUUCCACAAUGGACGAAAGUCUGAUGGAGCAACGCCGCGUGAGUGAAGAAGGGUUUCGGCUCGUAAAACUCUGUUGUUAAAGAAGAACAUAUCUGAGAGUAACUGUUCAGGUAUUGACGGUAUUUAACCAGAAAGCCACGGCUAACUACGUGCCAGCAGCCGCGGUAAUACGUAGGUGGCAAGCGUUGUCCGGAUUUAUUGGGCGUAAAGCGAGCGCAGGCGGUUUUUUAAGUCUGAUGUGAAAGCCUUCGGCUCAACCGAAGAAGUGCAUCGGAAACUGGGAAACUUGAGUGCAGAAGAGGACAGUGGAACUCCAUGUGUAGCGGUGAAAUGCGUAGAUAUAUGGAAGAACACCAGUGGCGAAGGCGGCUGUCUGGUCUGUAACUGACGCUGAGGCUCGAAAGUAUGGGUAGCAAACAGGAUUAGAUACCCUGGUAGUCCAUACCGUAAACGAUGAAUGCUAAGUGUUGGAGGGUUUCCGCCCUUCAGUGCUGCAGCUAACGCAUUAAGCAUUCCGCCUGGGGAGUACGGCCGCAAGGCUGAAACUCAAAGGAAUUGACGGGGGCCCGCACAAGCGGUGGAGCAUGUGGUUUAAUUCGAAGCUACGCGAAGAACCUUACCAGGUCUUGACAUACUAUGAAAAUCUAAGAGAUUAGACGUUCCCUUCGGGGACAUGGAUACAGGUGGUGCAUGGUUGUCGUCAGCUCGUGUCGUGAGAUGUUGGGUUAAGUCCCGCAACGAGCGCAACCCUUAUUAUCAGUUGCCAGCAUUAAGUUGGGCACUCUGGUGAGACUGCCGGUGACAAACCGGAGGAAGGUGGGGAUGACGUCAAAUCAUCAUGCCCCUUAUGACCUGGGCUACACACGUGCUACAAUGGAUGGUACAACGAGUUGCGAACUCGCGAGAGUAAGCUAAUCUCUUAAAGCCAUUCUCAGUUCGGAUUGUAGGCUGCAACUCGCCUACAUGAAGUCGGAAUCGCUAGUAAUCGCGGAUCAGCAUGCCGCGGUGAAUACGUUCCCGGGCCUUGUACACACCGCCCGUCACACCAUGAGAGUUUGUAACACCCAAAGUCGGUGGGGUAACCAUU